rnacentral:rRNA from 1 species
CGGCAAUGGAGGAAACUCUGACCGAGCAACGCCGCGUGAACGACGAAGUACUUUGGUAUGUAAAGUUCUUUUAUCAAGGAAGAAAAGCAAGUGGCGAACCAUUUGUUUGCCGGCACUUGAUGAAUAAGCCCCGGCUAAUUAUGUGCCAGCAGCCGCGGUAAGACAUAAGGGGCAAGUGUUAUCCGGAAUUAUUGGGCGUAAAGGGUGCGUAAGCGGUCUAGUAAGUCAGUGGUGUAAUGGCAACGCUCAACGUUGUCCGGUUAUUGAAACUGCUAAACUUGAGUUAGAUAGAGGCGAGUGGAAUUCCAUGUGUAGCGGUAAAAUGCGUAAAUAUAUGGAGGAACACCAGAGGCGUAGGCGGCUCGCUGGGUCUUAACUGACGCUGAGGCACGAAAGCGUGGGGAGCAAACAGGAUUAGAUACCCUGGUAGUCCACGCCGUAAACGAUGAGUACUAAGUGUCGGGUUAAACCGGUACUGAAGUUAACACAUUAAGUACUCCGCCUGAGUAGUACGUACGCAAGUAUGAAACUUAAAGGAAUUGACGGGACUCCGCACAAGCGGUGGAUCAUGUUGUUUAAUUCGAAGAUACCCGAAAAACCUUACCAGGUCUUGACAUGUUUUU